CCUACGGGAGGCAGCAGUGAGGAAUAUUGGUCAAUGGGCGCAAGCCUGAACCAGCCAAGUCGCGUGAGGGAAGACGGCCCUACGGGUUGUAAACCUCUUUUGCCGGGGAGCAAGCCUGAGCACGUGUGCCCAGGCGGAGAGUACCCGGCGAAAAAGCAGCGGCGAACUCCGUGCCAGCAGCCGCGGUAAUACGGAGGAUGCGAGCGUGAUCCGGAUUUAUUGGGUGUAAAGGGUGCGCAGGGGGGAUGUUAAGCCGGCGGUAAAAAUUCAGGGCUCAACCCUGUCGAGCCGUCGGAACUGGCAGUCUUGAGUGUGCGAGAGGUAUGCGGAAUGAGUGGUGUAGCGGUGAAAUGCGUAGAUAUAAGGAAGAACGCCGAUUGCGAAGGCAGCAUACCGGCGCCCAACUGACGCUGAGGCACGAAAGCGUGGGGAUCGAACAGGAUUAGAUACCCCAGUAGUC
rnacentral:rRNA from 1 species